GCUGAUGAGAGUUCUCCACAGCCUUUGAAAUUGUUUGCCAUUUCUCACCAUGUUUGGGUUCUGCAGCAAUACAUCUCUUCAGUACGUCCUUCUGAUUCUCAUCAACACCAUGCUGAAGUUCGAAUUUGUAGUAUAAAGCCCAAAAAUCACCAACAUCUGGAGCAAGAGUUACUGCCCUGUUCAGCCAAGUUCUAGCUUUGUCAACCUUCCGGUCAUGCCAAAACAAUUUGGCCACAGCAGCAAUAACGUGAGGAUCAUGAUCACAUUUUUUAAGUGCAUCCAUGCUCUUGGUUUUACGUUGUGGACGAGGUACCAUCUCGAUUGAGGCUGCCCACAAUAUGCCACUAUUUGGACAUUCUUGCAGUGCCUUGGCCAUCAAAAUAUCAGCUUCUUUCUUAUUGCCAUGCCUCAAUUCAGCUCGCACUGCAGAAAGCCAAAGUUCAGGGUUUUGAGGAU
rnacentral:misc_RNA from 1 species